AACGAACGCUGGCGGCAGGCCUAACACAUGCAAGUCGAACGGGACCUUCGGGUCUAGUGGCGGACGGGUGAGUAACGCGUGGGAACGUGCCCUUUGGUUCGGAAUAGCCCCGGGAAACUGGGAGUAAUACCGGAUAAGCCCUACGGGGGAAAGAUUUAUCGCCAAAGGAUCGGCCCGCGUUGGAUUGGGUAGUUGGUGGGGUAAUGGCCUACCAAGCCGACGAUCCAUAGCUGGUUUGAGAGGAUGAUCAGCCACACUGGGACUGAGACACGGCCCAGACUCCUACGGGAGGCAGCAGUGGGGAAUCUUAGACAAUGGGGGAAGCCCUGAUCUAGCCAUGCCGCGUGAACGAUGAAGGCCUUAGGGUUGUAAAGAUCUUUCAGUGGGGAAGAUAAUGACUGUACCCACAGAAGAAGCCCCGGCUAACUCCGUGCCAGCCGCCGCCGUAAGAC
rnacentral:rRNA from 1 species